GUGGCGAUGUUAUAAACCCGAAGCACAAAAAGAAUCGUUCUUUUGUUCAUAGUUUCUAACCAAAACUGCCAAAUGACUGAUGAUGGACUUUUUUCUGCGGCUGUGCCAAAUAGCUGUUUUGCUCACAAAGAUGGAGAAACUCUGAAAACGGAGAAGCUGCUGCCAAGAUGCAUCAUCUUGGACUCCUGUUUGUAAUUACAUGUGGCAAUAAUUCAACAAGGUUGACACAUUCAGCUGCUCAGUGGCUUUUACUGUAGCAACACCAGUCGAUCCCCAGUAACUCGGCCGCUGUUCUGGCUCCGAAGCGUUUCUCUGCUCUACAUGCGGCUCCAUCCCCUCCAGUUCGUCUCUGCUCCCUUUUUUAAUGCCUGAAGGAUCUGCAGGGAGGAGGUGGCAGAAUGUUAAAUUUAAGAAUAAAGCCAUAAAAUUAAUGUGUGCUGGUCUUAAAAUCAAGAUGUGCCAUGAUGACUAGCCUGAGGGAAGACUGUAAUAAUGUCUGGACUUCAUCAUGCGGGGAACAGAAUGAUUAUAUGGAUCAGGCUGUUGUGAAAUUUUAAGGAUUCCCUUCACAAUACGUCUUGGUUAAUGUCAAUUCAUUCAAUCUCUGGACUCAUUUUAUCCGUGUAGUGAUGGGGGAAGGUUGCCUGAGCUGCAUGACUUAUUUCAUCUAAAAGAUAUUUAACAGAAAACAAACACAGAUGAAGAAACAUGCCUGAACUGAUUCACAUCCAGCUGAGAAGUCCUAAUCACUGUUACCCCCAAGAUGAGAUUCUUACUGGAAAUUUAGUCUCAAUAAUGCGACCAUGCUAAUUAUCCCAGCUCUCCUUCGGUCACUCACACUUACAUGGAGAUCCAGGGGUUUAAUCAUGUUAUAUCUUACAAAGAAUAGCAAAAAAUAUAUAUUUUUGUCUUUACAAGACGACGUGGAAAGAAACACAAAGUUUUAGCUGCUUAGUGGCUCAGAAAGUUAAAUUUCACCUGAAUCC